CGCGGUGAUACGUAGGGUGCGAGCGUGUCCGGGAAUUAUUGGGCGUAAAGAGCUUGUAGGCGGUCUAUUGCGUCGAAAGUGAAAACUCAGGGCUCAACCCUGAGCCUGCUCUCGAUACGGGUAGACUUGAGGGAUGUAGGGGAGAACGGAAUUCUUGGUGGAGCGGUGGAAUGCGCAGAUAUCAGGAGGAACACCGGUGGCGAAGGCGGUUCUCUGGACAUUUCCUGACGCUGAGAAGCGAAAGCGUGGGUAGCAAACAGGCUUAGAUACCCUGGUAGUCCACGCCGUAAACGGUGGGUACUAGGUGUGGGGGACAUUCCACGUUCUCCGUGCCGCAGCUAACGCAUUAAGUACCCCGCCUGGGGAGUACGGCCGCAAGGCUAAAACUCAAAGGAAUUGACGGGGCCCCGCACAAGCGGCGGAGCAUGCGGAUUAAUUCGAUGCAACGCGAAGAACCUUACCUGGGUUUGACAUAUGCCGGAAAGGCCUAGAGAUAGGUCCCCCCUUGUGGUCGGUUUACAGGUGGUGCAUGGCUGUCGUCAGCUCGUGUCGUGAGAUGUUGGGUUAAGUCCCGCAACGAGCGCAACCCUCGUCCUAUGUUGCCAGCGGAUAAUGCCGGGGACUCGUAGGAUACUGCCGGGGUCAACUCGGAGGAAGGUGGGGAUGACGUCAAGUCUUCAUGCCCCUUAUGUCCAGGGCUUCACGCAUGCUACAAUGGCCGGUACAAAGGGCUGCAAACCCGCAAGGGUGAGCGAAUCCCAAAAAGCCGGUCUCAGUUCGGAUUGGGGUCUGCAACUCGACCCCAUGAAGUCGGAGUCGCUAGUAAUCGCAGAUCAGCAACGCUGCGGUGAAUACGUUCCCGGGGCUUGUACACACCGCCCGUCAAGUCAUGAAAGUCGGUAACACCCGAAGC
rnacentral:rRNA from 1 species